rnacentral:rRNA from 1 species
UACGAAGGGGGCUAGCGUUGUUCGGAAUUACUGGGCGUAAAGCGUGCGCAGGCGGUUAUAUAAGACAGAUGUGAAAUCCCCGGGCUCAACCUGGGAACUGCAUUUGUGACUGUAUAGCUAGAGUACGGUAGAGGGGGAUGGAAUUCCGCGUGUAGCAGUGAAAUGCGUAGAUAUGCGGAGGAACACCGAUGGCGAAGGCAAUCCCCUGGACCUGUACUGACGCUCAUGCACGAAAGCGUGGGGAGCAAACAGG